rnacentral:rRNA from 1 species
UGCAAGUCGAGCGGAGAGAGGUAGCUUGCUACUGAUCUUAACGGCGGACGGGUGAGUAAUGCUUAUGAAUCUGCCUAUUAGUGGGGGACAACAUUUCGAAAGGAAUGCUAAUACCGCAUACGUCCUACGGGAGAAAGCAGGGGAUCUUCGGACCUUGCGCUAAUAGAUGAGCCUAAGUCGGAUUAACUAGUUGGUGGGGUAAAGGCCUACCAAGGCGACGAUCUGUAGCGGGUCUGACAGGAUGAUCCGCCACACUGGGACUGAGACACGGCCCAGACUCCUACGGGAGGCAGCAGUGGGGAAUAUUGGACAAUGGGCGCAGGCCUGAUCCACCCAUGCCGCGUGUGUGAAGAAGGACUUAAGGUUGUAAAGCACUUUAAACAAUGACGACGGAACAGUUACUCAAUAUUUAUAAAUAACCGAAGGUUACCGUCACUCACAGAAUAAGCACCCUCUAUCUCCGCCGCCCCCAGCAUCAGCAAUGCUGCGGGUGCUACCCGCUGUUCAUUAUUUACUAAAGCGUAUGCACCCCC